CUCGAUUACUCAGGCGCUUAGCAUAUAUCUUUUCAUUUUGCAAUAUAUUUAGACCAUUGCUCCGCCCUAACUUCUCUCACUUUCCCCAUUUCCUCCGUCAAUUGCUCUCUCCACCGCCGUGUCGCCGCGGUGAUUCUCCUACCCUCAAUGAACCGGUUAAUUCCGCAAUUGACCUGGUCACCAUCUCCAGCUUGGUGUGAAUUUUCACAACGAACCGGUUAAUUCCGCAAUUGAGCUGAUUGAAAUGGCAGUCACCCGAGAUUGUUUGCAAGCUUUUUAUAAUCUCUGGUACUUUCCCUCUCUAGCAUCUAUCACCGGUAGCGGCACCGCCACUGAGAUCCGCAACUUCCUUGGCGAGAAGAAGGGAUUUUUCCUUCAACAAUCUCAGUGGACCUGUGCCCACUUUUCCCCGCAAAAUCAUUUCAGUAUGCUCUCCUUUUGCAGAAUUUGUCUACUUAAUCAUCAUGUUACUUCGAUACAAUGUUACUGUCAUAUUAUGGCAAACCUUGAUUUAUGCAUGCAUGAAAUCCUCAUAUUUGUGGAAGCCACUCUUCUGGAUCAAAUCUUGCUAGCCCCCUUGCAUUUUCAAGAACUCAAUCUUCAGGGUAUAACAGAGGCACAGUAGGAGGUCGUGUGGCAGGGAACGAAAGGUCAUUUCUACCAUCAGCCCCAUUUCAAAUGAGUCAAAUGGAUAUGGAAUACGAAAUACAUAAUCUGGAACAGAUUGCAUAUGAUGCUGUUUUACGAGCUUUCAAAGCACAAUCUGAUACACUCACAUGGGAGACAGAGGGUCUUAUAACAGAAUUGAGGAAGGAACUCAGGGUGCCAGAUGAUGAGCAUCGAGAACUACUUAGUCAGGUCAAUGGUGAUGACCUCAUUCGCAGGAUCAGAGAGUGGAGGGAGGCAGGUGGUAACCGAAAUAUAGCCCCCAAUGUCGCCCAGCAUAUAAACAACCAGUUACCAAGUCCUACAAUUUCAGCUUCUCGUAAUAUGUUGAGCACUUUUGGAAUAGAUUAGCACUUUAUAAUUUUUAGUACUAGUAUUGUUUGUGUAGUUUAAGUCAAAGAUGACCAACACUUAAUAUUGUUUAGUUUGUGUGUUCAAACACGUUACAUUUUUGUGUAAAAUCAUUUGAUGGUUUGAAUAUUAUUCAAAUAGUUGUCAUUUUA